ensembl:lncRNA
CUCUGCUGCUGUCUGUCCCACAGCAACAGCAUGGAAUGGGAUAUUGGCGGGAAGGUUCUACCUCAGCUGCAGUCCCACUGACCCCUGCCUCUGACGCUGUAGGCCAACACCACAAAAUAGGAAGCAUUACUACAUGCUCAGCUUUUCAGCGUAUCCCAGAGCCAUCGAGGAGUAAAUAAAUCCAUCAUCGUUCCCAUAGCACCACACCGUGGUCAGCUCUGCAGGAAGCCUCUGCAGAAAGAUUUCUGAGUUUCCCACCCAGCAAUGCAUUCAGGAAAGGACACGCCAAACCUGCCCUAAAUUCCCGGACUUCAGUGCUUUAAAGUUUUGUCUUUGGAAAGAUUAACACUGCAAGGACACUGUGUCAUCCUCAGGUUUCCAGUGCGUGUAAUUCAUUCUCAUGCUCAUCCUUCUAUUUUCCCUCGCAUUCUAUAGUGCAAAGGUUAUUAAUGUAGAGACAGAGGAGAACAAAAUACCAGUAGGCAGAAAUCAAUCUGUCUGCACAGGAGCUGUUUUUAAAGCUGUAUUUGGAAUAGCAUUUUCCUGAAAUGUGUUCAAAGAUCGUUGUUCAUAUGACAGAAUGGUACGUGUGCACAUACGAUUUCUUUUGGAUGUUUCAGAGUUCAGAGAAAACAGCUGCUGUUACAGUUAUAAUUACUGAAAUGAUCACCACGCUAUCAUUUGAACAUCAAAAACUCUGGUAUAUAACGGGAAGCGAAGCUUAAAUCUGGCAAAAGCAACAGACAGAGUUCUGUAUCUGGGAAGAAAUUCCUUAUUUUAUAUUUGCUUGUUAGCAUGGCGUACAUUCUACUGAAACAUGAGGCAGUUUUACUGAUUUGCAUGUCUGAGAACUUUCCCCAGCAACAAAAAUUACUGGGAUUUUAUUUUUAAAAAUCAGAUAAAAUGACAAUCUGAUUGCAUGGACAGCUUCUAAUUCUACCCACUUCAUUCAGCUCCAUUAACUGUGGCAUUCCCCAGUCAGAUGAGUAACAACGCCUCUGGCUUCCAAGGCCAAAUAAAUCACAAAGAGAUGGGUAUGUGAUCUGUUUGUCUCAGAACAGUCCUGUUGUGAGCAGUUCUAACUUACAUCUUAUUUCCUUCUGUCUGUGGCUAUGAAUUGAAAUACUUUAGGAUAUCUGAUCUGUUUUCAUUAAAACCAUUCAUCUUACAGUCGUCUUCUAGUAUGGCCUUGAAUUCACAGUUGACAGCUAUUCCCUAGCAAUGCUUUAUAUUUAUUAACAUCCUGCCCUUUUUCUCUGGCCAGACCUUUCUGGGUGACAGACAACAGCAACAUGAAGAAAAGGAAACAUCUGAAGUGAAUGUCCUGAGAUGGGGAAAUCAGAAGAUCACCCCAAAUGACACCAUGGACAGCCGAGGCUCUAAACUCAGGUGAAGUUGGGUUUUACUUGGGAGAACUCCCUUUAGAAAAAUUGUAUUGUAAGAAACCUAUGUUGAUGAGGGUUGCUGUGGAAAACAAACGGUCCCCAAAACUAUGUUUUUCUGUUUAACCAAAAAAACCAAACCAAAACUGAACUUAUCUUUUUGAUCUUUCAGAAUUCAUAUUUUGUUACCCAAUGGCACAAGCACUUCUCUCCUUUAAAACACUCCUAAUUGUGGUUUUGAGUUUGUUUCAACAAGAAACUUACUGAUUGAUCAAUCAAAGACCCUGUUGCUGUUUGAUGCUGCUGGACCCAUCAAGCCAGAAUGCAUAUUUAAAAAGACGGAAAUCGAAGACACCUAACCAUUACUUAAUGAUAUACACAUGUCAGCUGCCAAAGGAGCAUCCCCCUGAUGUCUGGGGUGUAAAUGCAGCCGUGUCUUGAGACUGGGACAAGAGGUGCUAUCAAGACAGCAUUCAUCAGGGGCUGAGAAGGGAGUUUUGAAUCACUAGCAAGUUUGCUGCAUCGACACCAUCACCCAGUCCUGUUGCCACUCGUUUUCUUUCCCCCCAUCCUCACAGAGAUGCUACAAGGAUUUAGUGGUCUAUCUGUCUGGCUGCAAGAGCUUGGAGUCAAAUGUCUACUCAGCAUGCAGUUCUACAAGACACAAGCAAUGGAAUACUGAGAAAGUUUUGAAUGGAUCCGGUUCUGGCAGGGGAAACUUGGAGAGAGGAGAGACCAGAGGAAGAAACAGAGAACCUAUUCCAAAAUCAGCCUGCUGAUUUCACAGAUUGAUGCUCUAAGAGGAAGAUGAUAACGAUCAAAAUAAACAAGCAAGUCAAACUCCAGCUCUGUGGAUGAGAGCCUCAGUUCUCCAGACUCUUACUGAUACUUUUCUGCUCAGGAAAGCCUUGCUCACUUUGCCAUGAGUGAUUCCUGAAGACAAGUUGUACCGGCACUCAUUAUGUCCUUCCUGCUCUUCCUCUGGAAAGAUCCAGUUCCUCUUAAUCAUUCUGAAUCUCAGCACACAGCCAUGGGACAUGCCUCCCAUCCUCUGCUAAGAUGUAAUGAUGAAAUAACAUAUAUAAGACUUCAAAAUAAUGGAUAAAUUCUUCCUUCAGAAUAACCCAGUCGUUUCUUUAUAGAAAGAGUUUCAGGAACAGUGAAAGACGUGAACCCAUAUCAUUAGAAGAGCUGACUGCAGUAACUCUUGAUGACGUGCUUGCUAUUCCAGACCGUAUCCCAUCCAACGAAGAACACUGUCCUGCAGAGCUUACACUCAAACCCAAUGAAAUGCGCAUGCUUACAAAGAUGGCCGUGAAGACUUAUCUCAGCAAAGCCCCUCAGAAGUCCAGCAUGUUGGUGAGGCAUUGGCACAGGCUGCCUGGAUGGUGGUCCCUGGAGGUGUUCAAGAACCGUGGGGAUGUGACACCGAGGGACCUGGGCAAGGAGACCAGCUCUCCCCGCAACCCAGCGCCUUGCAAGAGUCUGCCCCAGCCAGAGCUCGCGCUCAGCCUGAGAUGUGUUUGCCAUCCAGUGUUCUGGGCCAGCAUUAAGACAGAUGUGGUAUUGAGGACCAAAGACUGACUUUACCAAAAAGAAAGGAUGCUGACAGAAGGUAUUACUGACCACCGCUGGAUGUUGGCCAUCCUGCCAGUGUCGCCUAGGAAAUUUGGCAGACUUGGCAGUGCAUCUUCGGAAUCUCGCCUUUCAGUUUCAUUUGCACGUUAAAAGUACUGUUCCAAAAUGAAAAUAAAAGGAUGUUCCACUAACAGUCGGCCCUGGCAAGAAUAAAUACUACAACUCUGAACUCAUCGUGCUAGUGAAUGCAGCUCUGAACUCAUCGUGCUAGUGAAUGCUGUGCUCCAGCAGUUUAUUUAAUAGUGGUGUUAUUUAUAGAAAGCUCCCUCACGUGAUGUUAUUGCCAGUAACACAGAUGUCCCUUGAAUGCACUCUACUUUAAAUAAAGGUGAAAGGCUAAGGAAAAUAUAAAACGAACCCACCUUUAAUAUUUGACUUCAACAAUAACAAGAAGGGUGUGGCUGCUCUGAAACUGCGGCUUGACGGAUGCUUGGGAGAAGGGAAGGGUGGGAAAGCUCUCUGCUCACCAGUUCCACAGUCUUGUUAGCAAAAACACAUCUGACACCCGCGAUUGUGGCCUGGGAGAUACAG